rnacentral:tRNA from 1 species
GCCCCGGUAGCUCAGCUCGGUGGAGCGGCGGCCUUGUAAGCCGCAGGACCCGGGUUCAAAUCCCGGCCGGGGCU